UGGUUCUGGCAUNGAUGAAGAACGCAGCGAAAUGCGAUAAGUAAUGUGAAUUGCAGAAUUCAGUGAAUCAUCGAAUCUUUGAACGCACAUUGCGCCCCUUGGUAUUCCGAGGGGCAUGCCUGUUCGAGCGUCAUUUCAAACCCUCAAGCUUCUGCUUGGUGUUGGGCUCUCGUCCGUCACAGGACGUGCCCGAAACUCGUAGGCGGUGGCGCCCAGCUCCUCAGCGUAGUUAUACAUUCCGCUCCGGAUCGUUGGGUGUUGCUCGCCUCACAACCACAAUUUUUUCUAUGGUUUGACCUCGGAUCAGGUAGGGAUACCCGCUGA
rnacentral:misc_RNA from 1 species